rnacentral:rRNA from 1 species
UACGUAGGGGGCGAGCGUUGUCCGGAUUUAUUGGGCGUAAAGAGCGUGUAGGCGGUUCGGUAAGUCUGUCGUGAAAUCCUGAGGCUCAACCUCGGACUUGCGGUGGGUACGGGCAGACUAGAGUGUGGUAGGGGAGACUGGAAUUCCUGGUGUAGCGGUGAAAUGCGCAGAUAUCAGGAGGAACACCAGCGGCGAAGGCGGGUAGCUGGGCCAACACUGACGCUGAGGAGCGAAAGCGUGGGGAGCGAACAGG